rnacentral:tRNA from 1 species
GCGAGAGUGGCGGAACUGGCAGACGCGCAGGGCUUAGGACCCUGUGUCCGUUGAGGACGUGGAGGUUCGACUCCUCUCUCUCGC